rnacentral:rRNA from 1 species
AUACGGAGGAUGCAAGCGUUAUCCGGAUUUAUUGGGUUUAAAGGGUGCGUAGGCGGAUGAUUAAGCGUGAGGUGAAAUGCCACUGCUCAACAGUGGGACUGCCUCGCGAACUGGUUGUCUUGAAUGCUCCUGCCGUGGGAGGAAUGUGUGGUGUAGAGGUGAAAUGCAUAGAGAUCACACAGAACACCGAUUGCGAAGGCAUCUCACGAAGGGGUGAUUGACGCUGAGGCACGAAAGCGUGGGGAUCAAACAGGAUUAGAUACCCUGGUAGUCCACGCAGUAAACGAUGAUAACUAACCGCUGGGUCGUAGUGAUUCAGUGGCCAAGCGAAAGCGUUAAGUAUCCCACCUGGGGAGUACGUUCGCAAGAAUGAAACUCAAAGGAAUCGGCGGGG